AGUAUUAGCUUUUGGGUUUGGGGAAUUAGUAUUAGCUAUAGGGUGUAUGGUAUUAGUAUUAGCUAUAGGGUGCAGGGAAUAAGUAUUAGCUAUAGGGUGGAGGGUAUUAGUAUUAGUAUUAGCUAUAGGUGUAGGGUAUUAGUAUUAGCUGUAGGGUGUACGGUAUUAGUAUUAGUAUUAGCUAUAUGGUGUAGGGUCUUAGUAUUAGCUAUAAGGUGUAGGGUAUUAGUAUUAGUGUUAGCUAUAGGGUGUAGGGUAUUAGUAUUAGCUAUAUGGUGUAAGGUCUUAGUAUUAGCUAUAGGGUGUAGGGUAUUACUAUUAGCUAUAGGGUGUAGGGUAUUAGUAUUAGCUAUAGGGUGUAGGGUAUUAGUAUUAGUACUAGCUAUAGGGUGUAGGGUAUUAGUCUUAGCUUUUGGGUGUGUGGAAUUAGUGUUGGUAUUAGCUAUAGGGUAUUAGUAUUAGCAACAGGUUGUUGGGUAUUAGUAUUAGCUAUAGGGUGAAGGGUAUUAGUAUUAGUAUUAGCUAUGGGUGUAGGGUAUAAGUAUUAGCUGUAGGAUGUAGGGUAUUAGUUUUAGAAUUUGCUAUAAGGUGUAAGGUAUUAGCUAUAGGGUGUAGGGUAUUAGUAUUAGCUAUAGGGUGUAGGGUAUAAGUAUUAGCUAUAGGAUGUAGGGUAUGAGUUUUAGUAUUUGCUAUAGUGUGUAGGGUAUUAUAUAUUAGUAUUAGCUAUAGGAUGUAGGUAUUAGCAAUAGGGUUAGGGUAUUAGUGUUAGCAAUAGGGUGUAGGGUAUUAGGUAUUAGCUAUAGGGUGUAGGGUAUUAGUUUUAGUAUUUGCUAUAGUGUGUAGGGUAUUAUAUAUUAGUAUUAGCUAUAGGAUGUAGGGUAUUAGUGUUAGCUAUAGGGUGUAGGGUAUUAGUAUUAGUAUUAGCUAUAGGGUGUAGGGAAUUAGUAUUAGUAUUAGCUAUUGGGUGUAGGGUAUUAGUAUAGUAUUAGCUAUAAGGUGUAUGGUAUUAGUAUUAGCUAUAGGGUAUUA
ensembl:lncRNA